AACGUAUUUCUAUCUGUCGUUACUCUUACCUGUCGAUGUGAGUACUAUCAUUACUGACUACGUAAUAACAUGAGUGAUGGACGUCGAGCCGGCUGCCACGCACAUAAGACUAACAGGAUAGAACGCGUGGCGGACGGUGGCCUUUCGUGACCGUCUCCUCUGUGGCCCGACCGACGCGAGGAGAAAAAGCACACCUUAUGGGCAGCAGUGACGUUGGGGAGAGGCAUGCCCCCCCGCAAUCCCCCGGGGGCGCAAGGUGCGGUCAAAGACUCGACGAUCACUGAAUUCUGCAAUUCACAUUACUUAUCGCAGUUGGCUGCGUUCUUCAUCGAUGCCGGAACCCAGAGAUGCAUUGUUGAAAGAAUUGACUGAUUUUUUUUUUUUGAGUCAGACUGCGUUCACUUUUCAUGCAUGAAGUUUUUUUUUUUUUUCGCGGGUGGUUCCCCGAGGAGGGGUCCCCCCCCGAAGGGACCAGUGUUAAGGAAAUCUCUGGUGGGAGGUUGGGGGGCCCCGAGGCAGCCCCGCCCUUCCGUUAAUGAUCUUUCCCUUCGGGGGCCUGCGGAAGGAUCAUUACUGAGUGCGGGCUGCCUCCGGGCGCCCAACCUCCCACCCGUGACUACCUAACACUGUUGCUUCGGCGGGGAGCCCUCUCGGGGGCGAGCCGCCGGGGACUACUGAACUUCAUGCCUGAGAGUGAUGCAGUCUGAGUCUGAAUAUAAAAUCAGUCAAAACUUUCAACAAUGGAUCUCUUGGUUCCGGCAUCGAUGAAGAACGCAGCGAACUGCGAUAAGUAAUGUGAAUUGCAGAAUUCAGUGAAUCAUCGAGUCUUUGAACGCACAUUGCGCCCCCUGGCAUUCCGGGGGGCAUGCCUGUCCGAGCGUCAUUGCUGCCCAUCAAGCCCGGCUUGUGUGUUGGGUCGUCGUCCCCCCCGGGGGACGGGCCCGAAAGGCAGCGGCGGCACCGUGUCCGGUCCUCGAGCGUAUGGGGCUUUGUCACCCGCUCGAUUUAGGGCCGGCCGGGCGCCAGCCGACGUCCAACCAUUUUUCUUCAGGUUGACCUCGGAUCAGGUAGGGAUACCCGCUGAACUUAAGCAUAUC
rnacentral:misc_RNA from 1 species